GACGAACGCUGGCGGCGUGCCUAAUACAUGCAAGUCGAGCGGACGGAUGGGACCUUGCUCCCAGACCGUCAGCGGCGGACGGGUGAGUAACCCGUGGGCAACCUGCCUGUAAGACUGGGAUAACUCCGGGAAACCGGGGCUAAUACCGGAUAACUCUUUCCCUCACAGGAGGGGAAGCUGAAAGAUGGCAUCUCGCUAUCGCUCACAGAUCGGCUCGCGGGGCAUUAGCUGGUUGGUGGGGUAACGGCUCACCAAGGCGGCGAUGCGUAGCCGAACUGAGAGGGGGAUCGGCCACACGGGGACUGGGCCACGGCCAAGACUCCUGCGGGAGGCAGCAGUAGCGAAUCUGCCGCAACGGACGGGAGUCUGGCGCAGCAACGCCGCGUGAGUGGUGACGGUUUUCGGAUCGUAAAGCUCUGUUGUCGGGGAAGAACAAGUUCCGGAGUAGCUGACGGUACCGUGACGGUACCUGGUAAGAAAGCCACGGCUAACUACGUG
rnacentral:rRNA from 1 species